rnacentral:rRNA from 1 species
GAUGAACGCUGGCGGCGUGCCUAAUACAUGCCAGUCGAGCGAACAGACGAGGAGCUUGCUCCUCUGACGUUAGCGGCGGACGGGUGAGUAACACGUGGAUAACCUACCUAUAAGACUGGGAUAACUUCGGGAAACCGGAGCUAAUACCGGAUAAUAUAUUGAACCGCAUGGUUCAAUGGUGAAAGACGGUUUUGCUGUCACUUAUAGAUGGAUCCGCGCCGCAUUAGCUAGUUGGUAAGGUAACGGCUUACCAAGGCAACGAUGCGUAGCCGACCUGAGAGGGUGAUCGGCCACACUGGAACUGAGACACGGUCCAGACUCCUACGGGAGGCAGCAGUAGGGAAUCUUCCGCAAUGGGCGAAAGCCUGACGGAGCAACGCCGCGUGAGUGAUGAAGGUCUUCGGAUCGUAAAACUCUGUUAUUAGGGAAGAACAAAUGUGUAAGUAACUAUGCACGUCUUGACGGUACCUAAUCAGAAAGCCACGGCUAACUACGUG